GAAGUACAUGUGGGGUAGAGGCGGUGGAUCAAAUAAAAGGAGAGGACCCGCCGCCUCUGCUCCACGGAGGGGAGGGGAAAAAAAGACGGUGAGAAAAUGAAAAGCCGGCUGCUGCCCGCCAUCUUGAUCAUCCGCACUUCUCCCCGGGACCGGCGAGAUCCACGUUCCCUGCCGACGCUGCUGGCCAAUCAGGGGCCACGGCGGCCUAAUCGGCCAGAGGCCUACCAGAAAGCGGCGGGAUUCGACCAAUGAGCGGCUACAUUCGCGCCAGUGCGAAUCGCUGAUCAAUCGGCGGGCGUCGUACGGGCGCGGGCCAAUCGGCAACCGCGCAUGUCGCCCAAUCCGCGGCGCCAAGCCGAAGCGGCGAAUGCCAGGCACUCAGUGGCGCCGCCCUGGCGUGAUCCAAACGGAAACCGUGGUUUUGGACCAAUCGUUGGCACCAUCCGACCAUGAGCCAAUCGGAAACUGCAGAGGGCGACCAAUCGGCGGCGGCGGAUGGUCGUAAACCAAUCGGAAACCGUGAGUGGUGACUAAUAGGCGACGCCAUGGGGACGCUAGCCAAUCUGAAGCGGUAGAACCGGCCAUUCAUUGGUGCCGGCUAUGGCGGUGGUGGCCAAUCAGAAGCUCAGCUCUCUAACGAGUUUGUAAUGGCCAUUCUGGUCAAAAUGAAAGCAAUAAACUAUUUGCACAUCAAUUUUA